UACAGAGGGUGCGAGCGUUAAUCGGAAUUACUGGGCGUAAAGGGCGCGUAGGCGGCGUGACAAGUCACUUGUGAAAUCUCCGGGCUUAACUCGGAACGGUCAAGUGAUACUGUCGUGCUAGAGUACAGAAGGGGCAACUGGAAUUCUCGGUGUAGCGGUGAAAUGCGUAGAUAUCGGGAGGAACACCAGUGGCGAAGGCGGCUUUCUGGUCUGUUCUUGACGCUGAGGCGCGAAAGCUAGGGUAGCAAACGGG
rnacentral:rRNA from 1 species